rnacentral:snoRNA from 1 species
AGGUCACUUCAAAGAGAGCUUGUUAGACUCUUAACCAAGAGCUCUUGGCAUUGUGACCAAAGACGGAUGUUAUCCACAGGGUGAUACAGUCACUCAGAGUGCUGUUUCUCUGAGGGACAUAUAUUU